rnacentral:rRNA from 1 species
GUGGGGAAUAUUGGACAAUGGGCGAAAGCCUGAUCCAGCCAUGCCGCGUGUGUGAAGAAGGUCUUCGGAUUGUAAAGCACUUUAAGUUGGGAGGAAGGGCAGUAAGUUAAUACCUUGCUGUUUUGACGUUACCGACAGAAUAAGCACCGGCUAACUUCGUGCCAGCAGCCGCGGUAAUACGAAGGGUGCAAGCGUUAAUCGGAAUUACUGGGCGUAAAGCGCGCGUAGGUGGUUUUGUAAGUUGGAGGUGAAAUCCCCGGGCUCAACCUGGGAACUGCCUCCAAAACUGCAUGACUAGAGUACGGUAGAGGGUAGUGGAAUUUCCUGUGUAGCGGUGAAAUGCGUAGAUAUAGGAAGGAACACCAGUGGCGAAGGCGACUACCUGGACUGAUACUGACGCUGAGGUGCGAAAGCGUGGGGAGCAAACAGGAUUAGAUACCCGGGUAGUCC